rnacentral:rRNA from 1 species
UGCGCAGGCGGCCCUGUAAGUUAGUGGUGAAAUCGUUCCGCUCAACGGAAUACCCGCCAUUAAUACUAUAGGGCUUGAGUGUGUCAGAGGAGGUUGGAAUGCGUGGUGUAGCGGUGAAAUGCAUAGAUAUCACGCAGAACACCGAUUGCGAAGGCAGAUCUCUAUGACAUAACUGACGCUCAGGCACGAAAGCGUGGGGAGCGAACAGGAUUAGAUACCCUGGUAGUCC